AUGAUCUCCAGCACUGUCCUGAUCACUGCACUGGUGCUGCGUCUCACAGGUCUGGAUGCACUUGUGCUGAAACAGCAGAAAUCUCUUUCUGUGUCUCCCAGACAUACUGCUAAAAUAUCCUGUGUCAUGACUGGUGGCAGCGUAAGUAGCUGGACUAUUUCCUGGUAUCAGCAGAAGUCUGGCAGUGUUCCUCGAUACCUUCUGUAUGGCAUAAGUCAUGCUUCUGGAGUGCCAGACCGGUAUACAGGCUCUGAAGAUUCUUCCACUCAGAGUGCCUCUCCCCCCUCUUUGACCCUGCUGCCUCCCUCCGGGGAGGAGCAGUCUACCCGCAGCAAAGCCACACUGGUAUGUCUGGCGCAGGGGUUCUACCCGGGCUCAGUGACCGUGACGUGGAUGGUGGACGGACAGCCUAAGACGGGGAGUGAGGUCCAGACCAGUGAGCUUGAGCAGCUGCCUGAUGGAUACUUCCAGCUCAGCAGCUUCCUGUCUCUGCCAGCGUCUCAGUGGACCUCUGGCAAGACAUACUCCUGCCAGCUCCGCCACGAGGCUCUGUCCUCCCCCCUGGAGAAGAAUGUCAGGAGCUCAGACUGCAUCUAGAACUGGGGAGGAGCAGUGCACUGCAGGAGUCA